rnacentral:lncRNA from 1 species
GGACACCCGUAAAUCACCGCGGGAGCGAGCAGAGUUGCGGGAUACUUCCGCUCCACCCUCGAGAUUCUGGCUCAGUCAACCCGGAAGGCAGCUCAGGCCUCCACACCCUGGGUUCCUCAGCGGAUGUAAUGCCCAGCCAGGAGGGAGUGUCACUGCUCCGCGUGAGGGUUAAACUGCCAUCACCUCGCUGUUUACUCCAAGGAAACUAGAGAAAGCGCAGAUCACCCUCAGAGCGAUAAACGUCCCUUGUCUCCAGGAGUUUUCUGUUCCAGAGUGUGAGCUCCGUGAAGAUGAGGAUCUUGUCUGUCUUCUUCGCUGAUGUGUGUAGUUGCCUAGAACAGUGCCUGGCCCGUGAUACAUUUCAUUGCCGUCAGGUUGGAAUCAAGCACCAAAUAUACAAACCACAAAUAUCUUUAGAUCUUGGACUGAAGAAUUAGAUAUUUUGGGGAUUUCACGUCAGGAAGAUGAAUUAAAAUAGGUAAUGUUUCAAGAAAGAUGUGAGCAGAGCCUGUGGCAGCCGUGACACUGCAUCUCGCAGCCUCUAAGCACAAGGAGCAUAAUUGACCAAGAGCCCAGGGACUUGUUCUGAAAUUCAUUGCUGUGCCUGAGCCAAAGUCAUGCCUCCCAGGGCUGUUCCCAGGCGGAACCGGGGGGCAGCAGGGACACUGAAGCAGGCUCACUUUGGGGAGACACGGGACUCGCCUGAUAAACAAUUGUUUCUCAAGGACCCCCGACAAUGACAGUGCUGCUGAAUCUUCUUAUGCUCGCUGCAUGGGGGGGUCUGAAACGCUUCCCACCCAGGAUUCCCUCCCUCUCUCCUUCAUUGGGGGGCAGGCUCGCAAUGUGGUCUGAUGGCUCCCCUGGCUUCUCCCAGCUCCCUCUCCAAUUUCUGUCAAUAUUAUCACCCAAUAAAAUCCUCA